UACGAAGGGUGCAAACGUUGCUCGGAAUCAUUGGGCGUAAAGCGCACGUAGGCGGCUUCAAAAGUCGGAUGUGAAAUCCCGUGGCUCAACCAUGGACGUGCAUUCGAAACUGCGAAGCUUGAGUAUGGAAGAGGGUCGCGGAAUUCCCGGUGUAGAGGUGAAAUUCGUAGAUAUCGGGAGGAACACCAGUGGCGAAGGCGGCGACCUGGGCCAAUACUGACGCUCAGACACGACAGCAUGGGGAGCGAACGGG
rnacentral:rRNA from 1 species